ensembl:lncRNA
AGGCUCAUGGCUGGAUGCUUUUGUACAGAACUUAGGAAAUCAUCACAUCAACCCUCCAGGGCAGGUGCUAUUGCCAAUGAGGAAAUGGAGGCUCAGAGCAGCCAUCACCUUGCUGGCAAGUGGGGGUGAAAGGAUUCCACCAUGAGUCUGAGGUGGGUCCCUAAUAUUGACGGGGCCGGAGCAAGAGUACACAUAUGUCUAAAGUUAUAGAAAUUACAAAUGAAGCUUACACAAGUCAUGGAGAGGGCAUUCUGUCCUCCCACCUUAAAGACAGAAAGUCAUCCCUCGAUAUCGGGAUUGUUUCCAGGACCCCCUUCAGAUACCAAAAUCCGUGGAUGCUAAAGUCCCUUAUAUAAAACGGUGUGGUAUUUGCGUGUAACCUAGGCACAUCCUCCCAUAUGCUUGAAAUCAUCUCUAGAUUACUUAUAAUACAUAAUACAAUGUAAAUGCUGUGCAAAUAUAUUUGUUUAGGGAAUAAUGACGAGAAAAAAGUUCUACAUGUUCAGUACAGACACAACCAUGGGAGGCCUUUCCAUCCAGGAUUGGUUGAAUCCGCGGGUGCAGAACCUGUGGAUGUGGAGGGCUGACCACACCUUUGUACCUGGAAAGCCAGGGUUCAACGUAGGAUUCCCAGACUCCUUGGGGAUUUGCAUCAGGAGUGGCGGUGAGAGGAGGGCUGGCCACCAGCCUCCAGCCCCAGCAUCAGCUCGUCUCCCUUUCUUCUCGCCUCCAACUUCGUCUCACCUGGGAAGGAUCUCCCAGUCAGUCAUCUGCAGCAAGGACUCCGGGGUCACUGCCCAGGUCUGGACACUGGUGUUGAAAACCCCUCAGGACACAGGAGACAGGGAUCACGUGCUUGAUCCUCCCGCCCCUUUUCUGUGUUGCUGUGACCAAAGAGUCAGGAUCCCAUCCUCUCCUCUCCAAAUGCCAAGAAGCCCCCGGGGAAGGACCACAAGGGGCCAUGUCAGGCUCUGAAACUGGGCUAGUGAUGGCCACCCAUGGUCUUAUUUUCAAGUAAAACUCCAGAUUUUGACAAAGGGUGAGCAGGCUCUGGCUGCACAGCCACAACCAAGGAUGGAGGAGUCGCCACCAGCCAAAGCUCCAGGUUAACUCUCGGGUUAAGCUCCUUUGCCCUCCAGCACCUCCAGCACAGCAUUGUCGAAGCUUUCUCUCUGGCAGGGCUCCGGCAAAGGGGAGCUAAGGUCCUGCUCCUCUGGCAAAUGGGCACCCGGGGCCAACGUCAGCGGUGCCUGGAUGUAGCUGUGACCCCAUUAUACUCUCAGUCCGGUCCAGCUGAGGGAUCCUGGUCACACCUAGAAGAAUCAAAGGUAUACAGGUGGCCUGUAGACUGUUAGACGCUAGCCUGGGUUGAGCGCAGUCUAGCCAGGCGGCCGUGCAGUGAUCAUGCAGACAGAAGGUGACCUUUCAGGACUGCCCCUGACACCUGCAGGGCCCAGGCUCAUUUCCAGGGCCUCCAUCAGGUGUCACCCGCUUGCCCAGAUUCUUCUCUCAAAUGAAGCAAAGACCUUAGGCCGAGGAGGGAAUUGAUUUAAGACCCACUAACAGAGGUUUGAAAACUUCUCAAAUAAGAUGAUGAGGGGGAGAGUGCACAAUUUAGCCCAGCGAGUGGAGCACACAGCAGCCUGGCAACAGCCUCCCGGUUCUGUAGGUAAAGAGCCGCCCCGAGGAGCGUGGUCAUGGGCUUUCUCCCUUCACGUGGACAGAAAAGGAACAGAUGAGUGCAGAGUGCCAUGCGGCUGAGGGACAGUGGCUGGAAGGGAACAGGAGGACUUCCCAAGGCUGGAGGUCUUGAAAAACAGGCUCAGUCUCUUUGAUCCAUGAUGAGUCAAGUGUGGAGAGGGAGGAAAGGGGAGAAUCCCUAUUCCUUCUGGAACUCUGAGGGGCCUCCAUGAUGUUCACCUGGGCAGUAGGGAGCACAGCUCCUUGGGAUCCAAUUCAACCCCAACGUUAACUGGACAUCUAUGAUGUGCGAGGCACCAGGCUGGUCUGGGAGAUAGUCGACUGCUGAGCUGCUGACCUACUGUGGGCAGAUGAAGGACUGAAGAGCCAGAGCACUGAGGAGACUGGGCCCAAUUGUCUUGAGCAGCCCACCCCUCCCCAGCCCUGUGUCUGUGUUUGGGUUCAUUUGGACAGUCGUGAUGGUCGGGUGAUGGGCAUGCCCAUCCACACUCCCCCUCAGGGCACUUUUGUGUAGCCUUAGGAACAAAAAUAAAGAUCUUGUUUUAUAUACCUUGCCUAGACAAGGUCUGGGAUGUGUGGUUAGAAAAUAUUUUUGUUUUUAUGGAAUUGCUAAACCCCUGGAGUGCCAGAGGAGGCCACAUGGAGUGUGGCUCCUGCGGCCUGUUUUCUUCUGCGUGGGAAGUGAGUCUGGACAUAAACGGUGACGCUUAACCCUGCAUCCUGGAAGUUCUAGGUUUAGAUAAAAUGUUUCCGAAUUACCCAGUGAGUGAGGAAGACCACACGAUCUUUAAAUUCCCUCCCAGCUCUCACAUCCUGUGACUAAUCAGCAGCUGUCCUAACUUAAAUCAGACAAAAACUAGUGGGUC